GCCCCAAAAAACUCAUUUAAACUUGGGGUGCAAAAGGCAUCUGAAACGUGAGAGUCCCUGGGCUGGCCCAGGGAUAGAAGGGGAAGGUUUCAAUGAGACCCCGAAGCGACGCAGACCUGAAGGGGGGAAGCAGGCCGCCCCACAACAAGGCAGCCAACUGCCAAACUGUCAUUUUGCUCGGCGGCUGAACAGAAGGCUCGAGUAAUGACAACCACAAAACUCAUUUAAAGUCUGAAAAGGUGACUAAUGAGCUCAUUCAUGCUGCCUAUAAAUUAUUCACUACAACACGGAUCCCACUCAAGACAAACAGUAAAGUAAACUUUCAACACAGACUCUGCCGGCCUCCAAAGGAGAGGGAGUUAUGUCUGUAAAACUUUUCACAAUGCGGGAUACUGGCCUCUCCCUCCGUCUAUUGUCACAUUCAUUCUUCUGUUUACUUUUUUUUACUGCCUUUAAUCAAGUUUAAGCAGACACAGCUGUUACACAUUUAUUUCUCUGUUGAGUUUUUUCCAUUAGUUAUUACGAGCAAUCAUGAUGCUCUAAAAAUAGCAGCAAAUUAUAUUCUCUCAAAAUUGAAGGCUGACCUUAAAAUGAAGCCCAGGUCUUCGGAAAGAAUAUUCAUAUGCACAUGUUGGGUGAGUGACAGCCCUGCACAAAGGCGAAACAAAAGUGCAUUUUCCACCCUUGGAGAGGUUUGCAAUUUGCUUCCAAAUUUCCUUAGGUUCUAGUGGAAACGGGUUGCUUGAAAACCUUAGAAGACAGACUCUGCUUCCAAUGGCUGUGUUUGGGUUGAGAUUUUCAUGAACACUCACCAUCUUAACAGAAUAAAAGGGGAAACGUCUCAUUUAGGCUUUUCAGCACAGAUAAACCCAGCAGCAGGUUUGCUGGAAACCCACCACAUUGCUGCAGACUGCUUUCAGUUUCCUGUUUAAUAUUAAAUAAAGAAUUUCAGCUCUUCUGUUUUCACAAACUGUGCUAUUUGCAAUUACUGUCACCACUAAAAGCAGGAUGACUGUGGAGAACUAGUCCUAUGUUUUUCGAACCGUUUUUUGUUGUUUUUUUUUCAUCUUAGUAUCUAUUUCCAAGACGUUGUAAGAGUUAAAGAGUUUCAAAUCUAUCUAAUAGAUUUUUUUUUGAAAGAGUCCCCAAAUAAGUACUUACAUUAGUUCUUGGUCAGAUCGCCGAACAUUAUGUAUUUUUAAACUGCUUUGAAUACUUUGAAAAGGAGCCGCAGAAAAGCCACAGAAAACACUCAUACUCCAGUACCGCCAGAUGGAGGUUCUGACUAACCAAAACUGAAAGCAGAAAGGUCUGAGGCUGAGCUGUGCCCUGUACACACCUCGAGAUUACAGGAAAAAAAUGAAUGAUCGCCAGGUCCUAGGCCCAGGAAACCCGCAUGACAUGUGAGAAGUAAUGCAUGGGAGGCAAAUUCAGACCCUGGCUUUAACUUCAGCCUGAGACAGGGCCAAGCGCUGUCUCCAUUUAAGGAAAAUCUUUCACAGCUUUUUUUUUUUUUUUUUAAAGUAGAGAAAGAGUCGUCCUGCAAUAUUUAUAGCAAAGUACUUUGCCACCUACCGACAAGCAGCCUGGUUGGUCUUCACGUGCUUUGCCUGUUUUUGAUCCCUGCUUCUGUAUCUAGUAAGAAGCCAUUCUUUCCAUCCUCUGUGCAAGAGUGGUUGCAGAUUUGUUGUUGUUGUUGUUGUUGUAACCACACAACAGGUAAAAACCCAGUUCCACCCGAAGGAAUGGAGACAUCUAAAACGGCCUCCCAGGGAAGUCUCAGCUUCUCUGUAACUCUGCACUAACUAGAUUUCUGUCACCUCUCUGUGGAAGGGUGGGGACAACAUAUUGCUUUGAAACCCAGCCGCGUGGGGCCCUUCCCUAGCAUCAUGUCUGAUAAGACAGAAUUCGCCUCUCCUUCAUUGGUGGGAAACCCAGCUUGUCCGGAGACCGUCGAACCCCACCUUAUUCUAAUUGCCCCGAGGAGAACCAAGGGUAAGGUCACUUCGGCCUGAGCACAUUCAAGGCGCCCAGACAGCAAAGCCAAAACCAUGAACACCGGGCAGCCAAUUACCGCAACCCCGAGAACUACACAGCAUACACAGCAACAAAGCUCUCCAGCGCUUCCCAUAUGCCAGGCACUCAGCCAAGAGCUUUACCUGCAUUAUUUAUUUUAUCCUUCCAUUAUCCUUACCAAGUAGGUGCUGUCAGCCUCUUUUACAGAUGAGGACACCGAGGCUUAAAGAAGUUCAUGGAGUUCCCGUCGUGGCUCAGUGGUUAAAGAAUCCGACUAGGAACCAUGAGGUUCCGGGUUCAAUCCCUGGCCUGGCUCAGUGGGUUAAGGAUCUGGCGUUGCCGUGAGCGGUGGUGUCAGUUGCAGACGCGGCUCAGAUCCCUUGUUGCUGUGGCUGUGGUGUAGGCCAGCAGCUGCAUCUCCAAUUCAAGCCCUAGCCUGGGAACCUCCCCACAUGCCACAGAAGCGGCCCAAGAAAUGGCAAAAAGACAAAAAAAAAAAAGAAAAGAAAAAAGAAAAGUCAUGUGCCAGCGUCUCCUUGGCCUGCAGGGUCCAUGCGCUUAACCACCACACUCUCCUAUCUCUGUAUCCCAUCCAAGAUCGAAUUUCCAAGAUCACAGAAUGUAACUUGCUGCUUGCAGCCUACCUCUCGGGCUUCCUCCUCAGAGGUUUCGGGGUUUCUCUGAUUUGGUUUUUGCACAGGACUUUUCAAAGGGACCACUAGACACAGGCACUCGUUCUACUUUCACACGCGGGGCUCCUGAUGCUCACAUAGAAAUGGACAUCAGUGAAUGACAACCAUCGCUACCAAAUACCAGAAGACGGAGGGCCGUGGUCACACAGCAGCACUGUGCUCCUGUCUGAAUCUAAAACACAAGAUUUGCGGGGGGGACGUGCCAGUGGAUAACUCCAGAGACGAGGCCUGAAUCUCCAAGUUGGUCCCUCACUCCCAUCCGGAUGGACCCUUGGAAGGAACAAACAGCUACGAAGUUGCCCAUUAGGCAACUAGAACAAUCUAGUCUUUCUCCUAUCCCCAUUGUCCCCUUCCCGCACCCAACAAAGGACCUACAGCCACGGGGAUAAAGAUCUGAUGGCUUCACUUCAAGCUAAUGCCUCCAAGGCACAGACAUUUGACUAGAAACCAUCUUCGAACUGCUUCUCUUG
ensembl:lncRNA